rnacentral:rRNA from 1 species
CGUAGGGUACGAGCGUUGUCCGGAAUUAUUGGGCGUAAAGAGCUCGUAGGUGGUUGGUCACGUCUGCUGUGGAAACGCAACGCUUAACGUUGCGCGUGCAGUGGGUACGGGCUGACUAGAGUGCAGUAGGGGAGUCUGGAAUUCCUGGUGUAGCGGUGAAAUGCGCAGAUAUCAGGAGGAACACCGGUGGCGAAGGCGGGACUCUGGGCUGUAACUGACACUGAGGAGCGAAAGCAUGGGGAGCGAACAGGAUU